GCAGCUGACACACAGUGCCCCCCUCCCCGUCGCACGGUGAGCACCUAGGGGAAACACUGGUACCAAUACUGUGCUUUAGAGAAAAAGUAAUUCUGUUCCUGAGGUACUUUGCCCAGCAAAAAGUAUUCUCUAAUAAAUGAUGUUGAUCUUUAUGUCUUGCUCAGGUAUUCGCACUGCCUUACUGGAUUCAGAGGAACAUGUCUGCCCCACUUGUAGCCAAUCAGAUGUCUCACCUGAUACCCUGAUAGCCAAUAAAUUUCUCCGACAGGUGAAUUGAGAAAAAAAGUUUUGAUGUUCGGGUUGUCGGGGAAUGGAGAGAGUUAAUUAAUUGUGUUUUUGUGGGGAGUUGAUUUGUGCAUUAUCUCUGUCUGACGGAAGUUUUCCUUGUUUUUAACAUCAGUAUAAUCAGUAUUUACUGUUUCUCCCAACACAGGCUGUGGACAAUUUUAAGAAAGAGCGAGGCUUCGCUAAAAGUCUGAAAAGAGGGAGUGGUGCGUCACAAUCCCAAAAUCCAACCCCGACGCCGAGCCCUGCCCCCACCCCGUCCCCUCUCACCGUGCAGAGCCAACCGCCGAAGCCUUUCCUGUCGAUCAACAGACAGCAGGUGAACCUCCAUAAUGAUGUGUUUCAUCUUGGAGGCAGAAAUUAGAGUGGCACUGUGCCUGCAUGGCUCAGGAGCAAACAGAAUAAUUACUGUUUUAUUUUCACAAUCAGAUGUUUGUCAAGUCUCAAGAGUUCUUCAUUUAGACAAAUGUUAGAAAGCACAGCAGACUGUAUUCUCCAUACUUACACUAACUGAGAAAUGUGCAUGUAUAUUGUCAUGUCUAGAUAUUCUUUGUUGUUAAUCAUUAUGUCUCUGCUGAAGGUUUUCCCUUGCUUGCUCUACUAUAUUCUGAUCCCAUUUUCUUUUUUUUAGGACCCUCUCCGGCACAACUCGCAGGCUGUAGACACACCUCCAUCGUCUCAGGUGUGUGGGGCUACGCCCACAGCAACAAGCCCCGCCUCUUCUCCCAGCACUUCCCUCCAGCCGGUGCAAAGCAUCCUGGAAACACCCAACAAAGAGGCUGAAGAAAAGACGCACGGCGACACGGCGGAUGCUGCCGCCGCCCCGUCUGUACCGGUUUCACCCAAAGACCCAACUGAUGCUCCUUCAAAGCUGAUCCCACUGGUUGAACUUACACCAGUGGGAGAGCAGCCCCAGACGGUCAGUGUAAAUCUACAGCCGCUCCCCUCAGGUGAGUGACAAAGGCUACGUUCAGCAACAGUGUGAACAGCACAAAUCACAGUGUCCCUUUCUGUCCAUUCAUUAUUCUCUCCAUGUGUGUUUUGUUAUCUUAUUACUAAAAGCAAAGCAUUGAUUUAUCAUUAUGUCCAGAACUGCAGUAACACAGCCAACACCAUCUUUGCCCUGAAUCCACAGGUCCACCCCCAAGACCCCCUGGGCCGUCAACGU
rnacentral:lncRNA from 1 species